GUAACCGACAUUUCCCGGGAUUUCUUAUUUUGAAGUUUAUUGGUUUUAUUUUUUCUUAUGCUUAUCCUUCUUGCUGUGUGUAGAGUUACGAACUUGUUGUAUUAGCCAUUGAAUACCCUCCUCAAGUCCAUCGCCAGUUUUAGCACUACUCGAGCAAAUGUGCCAGGCUUUAUCACACUUGUGUGCCACAAUGGGCCAAACUGGCCUCCGAGUGAACUCACCUUUGGUGGGCGACCCAUUCAACCAAACCUAACCAUAAGGCUCCUCCUUUUUAAAGCCGAGUCUGAACGACGUGGUGCAGGGCGGCACCUCUUUGGAGAGAAGUUUUUACAUGGCAUAGUACCUCACAAAUGUUGCCAACAUUAGGAGGGGAAAAGCACCGCUGAAAAUUUUUUCUGAUGGUCUCGCCAGGAUUCUAACCCAGGUGUUCAAUGCCACAGGAGGACAUGCUAACCUACGGUGGCCUUUUCGCCUGACCAUUGGCGGAAAUAUAUGCCGCCUAAGAACGAACUUCAUUUCUUAUUGUCAAAGUCAUGUGGAUCCCUCUACGAUUUUUUCUCUUACUUGGCAUAAGCUUUUUCCA